GGCGAACGCUGGCGGCGUGCUUAACACAUGCAAGUCGAACGGAAAGGCCCUGCUUUUGUGGGGUGCUCGAGUGGCGAACGGGUGAGUAACACGUGAGUAACCUGCCCUUGACUUUGGGAUAACUUCAGGAAACUGGGGCUAAUACCGGAUAGGAGCUCCUGCUGCAUGGUGGGGGUUGGAAAGUUUCGGCGGUUGGGGAUGGACUCGCGGCUUAUCAGCUUGUUGGUGGGGUAGUGGCUUACCCAGGCUUUGACGGGUAGCCGGCCUGAGAGGGUGGCCGGCCACAUUGGGACUGAGAUACGGCCCAGACUCCUACGGGAGGCAGCAGUGGGGAAUAUUGCACAAUGGGCGGAAGCCUGAUGCAGCAACGCCGCGUGCGGGAUGACGGCCUUCGGGUUGUAAACCGCUUUCGCCUGUGACGAAGCGUGAGUGACGGUAAUGGGUAAAGAAGCACCGGCUAACUACGUG
rnacentral:rRNA from 1 species